GUGGGAUGUCACCUCUGAGUUUGCACAGAACUGUGUAUUACAGCUGUAGCUGAGAUCACAGAAGGGCCAUUGGGCAACAAAGAGAUGGCUCCAUCAUGCUAUGGUUUUCCACCUUCACAAAAGUGUGCCCAUGUGCUUAAAUGUCUUCAUUCCCUCCUCUUCUCCAUGUCAUAUAAUUAACUCAUACUGAUAUCUCAAGUUGUAGUUCCAGAAUUGGCUCUGCCAGGAUCCCAAGUAUUAUGUCUCUCUCUCCGAUCACAAGAAUUAUCUGAAAAUCUUUCUUCUCAACAUCCAUAGAAUUCAGAGUGGUGCUGUUCCAUGCCACACAUCACAAUCAAUGGCACUUCUGUCUCUAGGAUAGAAGCAUCUUGAGGCCACAAAAACUAUGUGCUGCGAUAUGGAGAGAAAUGCCAUUGUUCUUACUGGAUGAUUUCCUAUCAGAGCCCAUCAGGGGGUCCAGGCAUUUACAGUGAAGACCAGUAAUUGUACUAUCUUGCUUGGUGGUCAUGCAUACUCUAAGUUGUGGUUUCAGUGACUACUCAGACUUCUUACAUUCUGUUCAAGGUGAGUUUUCCCCUCGUUUUCUUUCUUUCCUUGUAUUUGAUCUUAUUGGUAGUUUUAUUCCUGUAAAUUUUAGUCAUGCAUGGUAUAUCUGCAACAUGGUUUUAAAUAAAAUGGGAAACAUGAG
ensembl:lncRNA